UGGGGCCUUUUUGAUUCGCUUUUGCUGCUCUUUCAUAUUUGGUUAAAACCGUGGAGAGACACCUGCCAAGCAAAGGAGAAGUCGGAACCAAAACAGAGAAGCCAAGAAGAAGAAGAACAAAAGGUGAAAAGGGAUGGCUUUUAAAACCGAUGGCACCAGCGGCAGGGAUAGCGCCUGAACGGACGGCGGAGGCGGCGUUGUACAGCGGCUAAGCCACUGACGGCGGUGCCUCAAUUCGACGUCGGAGAGCAGCGGCAGUGAAGCUGCGGCCAGGGGUUUUGAAAACAAAAAAAUAAAGUAGAAGAGAAGAGGAAAACGGCGGUGAACGCGGUUGGAGAAGACACCGGAAGGUCGAACGGCGGUUCUAGAGCUUAGGAGGCGGAGCCGCCGACGGCACAAAGGAGAGGCUAGGGUUUUCCGUUGAGAGGAGGAGAAGAGAAAGGAAAUAAAAAGAACAAAAAAUAACAGAAAAGAUAGAAAGAAAGAAAAAAGAAUAAAAGCAAUAUCGUGGUGGGCCCACGCUUUAUGAAAAACUCUGCAACCUCUCGUGAAUUUGAGCCAAAUAUUGGCUUCCGGGAAUAUUCAUUUUAAGUCCCUAAAUAUUUUGAAGUAGUGCUAUUUAGUCCCUGUAAAAAGGAGGCCCAAUAACCGUUUGGCCCAUCUUUGGAGAACGGCCCAAUUCUUGGCGCGGCCCAUUAAGCAGACCAAUAUUUUUGGGCUUUGGUUACUUUCUCUUCUUUUAAAUAGCCCAUCUAUAUAUUAAGUUGAUUUAUUUUA